GACGAACGCUGGCGGCGUGCUUAACACAUGCAAGUCGAACGGAAAGGCCUCUUUCGGGGGGUACUCGAGUGGCGAACGGGUGAGUAACACGUGAGUAACCUGCCCUUGACUUUGGGAUAACUUCAGGAAACUGGGGCUAAUACCGGAUAGGAGCUCCUGCUGCAUGGUGGGGGUUGGAAAGUUUCGGCGGUUGGGGAUGGACUCGCGGCUUAUCAGCUUGUUGGUGGGGUAGUGGCUUACCAAGGCUUUGACGGGUAGCCGGCCUGAGAGGGUGACCGGCCACAUUGGGACUGAGAUACGGCCCAGACUCCUGCGGGAGGCAGCAGUGGGGAAUAUUGCACAAUGGGUGGAAGCCUGAUGCAGCAACGCCGUGUGCGGGAUGACGGCCUUCGGGCUGUAAACCGCUUUCGCUCAUGACGAAGCUUUGUGUGACGGUAGUGGGUAAAGAAGCACCGGCUAACUACGUG
rnacentral:rRNA from 1 species